UACAGAGGGGGCAAGCGUUGUUCGGAAUUACUGGGCGUAAAGGGCGCGUAGGCGGCCUUCUAAGUCGGACGUGAAAUCCCCGGGCUCAACCCGGGAACUGCGUCCGAUACUGGGAGGCUCGAAUUCGGGAGAGGGAUGCAGAAUUCCAGGUGUAGCGGUGAAAUGCGUAGAUAUCUGGAGGAAUACCGGUGGCGAAGGCGGCAUCCUGGACCGACAUUGACGCUGAGGAGCGAAAGCUAGGGGAGCAAACGGG
rnacentral:rRNA from 1 species